UUAAAUUGAAGAGUUUGAUCAUGGCUCAGAUUGAACGCUGGCGGCAGGCCUAACACAUGCAAGUCGAACGGUAACAGGAAACAGCUUGCUGUUUCGCUGACGAGUGGCGGACGGGUGAGUAAUGUCUGGGAAACUGCCUGAUGGAGGGGGAUAACUACUGGAAACGGUAGCUAAUACCGCAUAACGUCGCAAGACCAAAGAGGGGGACCUUCGGGCCUCUUGCCAUCGGAUGUGCCCAGAUGGGAUUAGCUAGUAGGUGGGGUAACGGCUCACCUAGGCGACGAUCCCUAG
rnacentral:rRNA from 1 species